AGAGUUUGAUCCUGGCUCAGAACGAACGCUGGCGGCAUGGCUAAGACAUGCAAGUCGAACGGAUUAUAUGAUUGGGUAACCGAGAUUAUAGUUAGUGGCGAAAGGGUGAGGAACAAAUAGGUAACGUACCCCGGUCUUUGGGAUAGCGUCUCGAAAGAGGCGGUAAUACCAGAUGACGUCAAUUGUCUCAAGGCAGUUGAUCAAAGAUUUAUCGGACUGGGAGCGGCCUAUUUCCUAUCAGCUUGUUGGUGAGGUAAUGGCUCACCAAGGCUUCGACGGGUAGCGGGACUGAGAGGUUGGCCCGCCACAUCGGAACUGAGACACUGUCCGGACCUCCACGGAGGGCUGCAGUAACGAAUAUUGGGCAAUGAGCGAAAGCUUGACCCAGCAAUGCCGCGUGUAGGAUGAAGCUCCUCGGAGUGUAAACUACUGUCAGGGCUAAGAAAGUAUGUUUCGGCAUAUUGAUCUAACCCAGAGGAAGUCACGGCUAACUUCGUGCCAGCAGCCGCGGUAAUACGAAGGUGGCAAGCGUUGUUCGGAAUCACUGGGCUUAAAGCGCACGUAGGCGGAAUAGCAAGUGUCUUGUGAAAUCCCCCGGCUUAACCGGGGAAUUGCUCGGCAAACUGCUAUUCUUGAGGCAAGUAGGGGUACAUGGAACUCUUGGUGGAGCGGUGGAAUGCGUAGAUAUCAAGAGGAACGCCAAUGGUGAAGACAGUGUACUGGGCUUGUACUGACGCUGAGGUGCGAAAGCGUGGGGAGCGAACGGGAUUAGAUACCCCGGUAGUCCACGCCGUAAACGAUGUCUACUAGGUUGUGGGUGUUCUGACACAUUCACAGUCGCAGCAAAAGUAUUAAGUAGACCGCCUGGGGAGUACGGUCGCAAGGCUAAAACUCAAAGGAAUUGACGGGGGCUCACACAAGCGGUGGAGCAUGUGGAUUAAUUCGAAUCAACGCGCAGAACCUUACCUGGGUUUGACAUGUAUGGAUGCCUAUCUGGAAACAGAGUCGGUUACCUUUCGGGGUGAAACUUACACAGGUGCUGCAUGGCUGUCGUCAGCUCGUGUCGUGAGAUGUCGGGUUAAGUCCUUUAACGAGCGAAACCCUUGCCGUUAGUUGCCAGCGAGUAAUGUCGGGGACUCUAGCGGGACUGCCGGUGUUAAACCGGAGGAAGGCGGGGAUGACGUCAAGUCCUCAUGGCCUUUAUGCCCAGGGCUUCACACGUGCUACAAUGGUAACUACAGAGCGAUGCAAGACCGCGAGGUGGAGCAAAUCGCAAAAAAGUUGCCUCAGUUCGGAUUGUAGGCUGACAACUCGCCUACAUGAAGUUGGAAUCGCUAGUAAUCGCGUAUCAGCUAUGACGUGGUGAAUGUGUUCCUGAGCCUUGUACACACCGCCCGUCAAGUGAUGGAAGUCGGGAGCACCCGAAGUCGGAUUGCUAACCUCUUAUAAGGAGGCGUCUGCCGACGGUGAGUUCGAUGACUGGCACUAAGUCGAAACAAGGUA
rnacentral:rRNA from 1 species